AUAAGGCGGAUGUGGGCAGGGUGUUGUUUAAACUGUUGCUCAGCGGCUCCUUUUGUCUGAGGCCAGGGAUGUGGGUAGAACUUCAACUCCCAGAAGCCUGUCCAGUAGCAAGGGAUACUGGGAGAUGUAGUUGAAAAUCUUAUAGAGGGCCACCCCAGCUUUAGGACGCCUCCCAAUGUGUUUUCUUCUUUCAUCAAGGAGCAUCCUGGGGCAACAUCAAAACUCCUCUAUCAUGCCGUGUCAUUUUCUCUUCUACGAAUCCUGGAGGACAGCAGAACCUUGCCCUGACUCAGGCUAGAAGAACCUACCCUCUCUGGACAGAUUCUAAGGUUCCAAUAAACAUUUGCAUCUAGCCCUAUUUUUAAAACCAGAACCUGCCAUAUGCAUGUGUGUAAACAGGCUGGCAUUUGAUGGGUCAGCUCAGAAAUCAGUUUUGCAGCUCAAAACAAGCACAUACUCCACAAACAGUAGGUUAUAAUGCAAACGUUUCUUGGCAGCUGAGCCCUGAUGGCUCAUUUGUUCAAACUGCUCCCGCUCCUCGAACCUCGGUCUCUGCCCCCCCCCCCCUUUCGUGAAGGAGAAUCCCUAUUGCUGCUGCAGGGAGGUCUGAAAAAGUAAGGCUCCAGUCUGAGACAGGUUUCAUUUUUCUUCCCUUUCAGAGAAAGACUAGCAGUGCUUUGAUAAAUGAGAUUGCAAAACAAGUGGGAUGCAGACAUAAUGAUCUGGUUUCCUGUUUUUACAUGGUUUCUUUUCUUUUUUCUUUUUUACUCUGGUUCUUACGCUGCAGAGAACCCUACUAAAUUCAGUGGUCUUUACUUUCAAGCUUAUAUGCAGAGCAUACAGCAGCUAAGUAGAAGGCUAAUUGGAUGUAACAGUUUUAUGGUGGAUUGGUUUUUUUUUUAUUAAAUGUCAUCUUUUUCAUCAACA